GUGGCGAUGAGAUGGUCCGCUGCUCGUGACGUUGUGAGAAGUCCACUGAACCUUAUCAUUUAGAGGAAGGAGAAGUUGUAACAAGGUUUCCAUAAGUGAACCUGAGGAAGGAUCGUUA
rnacentral:rRNA from 1 species